ACGUCAUUGGGCGGCAGUGGGUUCUUGACGGUGGAGAUUCUAAUUGUCCCGCAAAACUUUGGAUUUUUAACCUCACCAGCAAUAAAGACGAGAUCGAUCAUGUGCAUCGAUUUUCUUCUGACUUUGGGAAUCAAAUGCAUGAUCUGGUGCUGGAGGAGACAACAAAUGGAUGGUUUGCAUAUAUUGCGCGCCGGAUAAUCGAGGACAUCCUUGUGUUUAGCUUGAAAGAGGAAAAAUCGUGGCUGAUGCAGAAGAGGAAAGAAUUAUGGGUGUCAAUAGCGCUUUAUUCUCCUCAGGAAAAUCCAAGACAGAUCUACCUUGGAAAAUACAACUCCACUGCUUUGUAUUCUAUUCCUGUGGCUGAUCUUCAGAGCGAAAUUCGACAUGUGAAUCCAAAAAUAAAUAGAACAUUGACUGCAGAGCCCUACCGAAUGUUGAUCGACAAUACUGGAACAGUCUAUGCCGCCUUUUAUGGGAAAAACUACACGUCGACUUGGAAAAUUUCACAGGAACUUGAGGAGCAACGUUUUUAUGUGCCUGGAAAACUGGGCUCUUGGCCGUUUACUUGUGCCUUGAGCUCGUCUGGGACGCUCUGGGGAUGAUGGUGUUUUACGAAAGUGGAGAGCCGAAGUAUAGACUACAAAGAGCUGAAGUCAGUGUAAAGCCACAUCUCUACAAUAUCUCAACAGAAUUUAUCACAACCACAACAACUCCAACGUUUGAUAGUGGGAAAGACAAAGAAAAUAAAACAUGCAACAGCGACGACGCCACACACCAAAGUCUGCUCAUUUUGAACACCGUUUUGUCCUGCUGGAACGUUUUCUGCAUCUUCUCCAUCGCAUCCCAAAUCUAUUGGUUUCGGAAGAUGAAGCGCACGCAAGACACGAUUGCCAAAACCAAGAAAGAGUGCGAGCAAAUGUGCAAAGAGCCUCUUAUCAACCGCGAAAUUCAACCACACGACACGGAAAUCAUCGAUCCCGUUCCUUCUACAUCAAUGCAAACUACAAUCGCUGAUGUCCACUUGUAGUAUUUUAAUUGGAAAUUUGAGCACAAAUAUAUACAAUAAAAAAUAUCUCGAAAAGUUAUCACGAGACUCAUUUAGAAUGCGGAAAUAAUAUAUUAUUAGACCGGCACGCCUCUU